AACGAACGCUGGCGGCAUGCCUAACACAUGCAAGUCGAACGAGACCUUCGGGUCUAGUGGCGCACGGGUGCGUAACGCGUGGGAACCUGCCCUUAGGUUCGGAAUAACUCCCCGAAAGGGGUGCUAAUACCGGAUAAUGUCUUCGGACCAAAGAUUUAUCGCCUUUGGAUGGGCCCGCGUUGGAUUAGCUAGUUGGUAGGGUAAAAGCCUACCAAGGCGACGAUCCAUAGCUGGUCUGAGAGGAUGAUCAGCCACACUGGGACUGAGACACGGCCCAGACUCCUACGGGAUGCAGCAGUGGGGAAUAUUGGACAAUGGGCGAAAGCCUGAUCCAGCAAGGCCGCGUGAGUGAUGAAGGCCUGAGGGUUGUAAAGCUCUUUUACCCGGGAUGAUAAUGACAGUACCGGGAGAAUAAGCGCCGGCUAACUCCGUG
rnacentral:rRNA from 1 species